GUUACCCCACACACAGACACACAGCAGGAGUUACCCCACACACAGACACACAGCAGGAGUUACCCCACACACAGACACACAGCAGGAGUUACCCCACACACAGACACACAGCAGGAGUUACCCCACACACAGACACACAGCAGGAGUUACCCCACACACAGACACACAGCAGGAGUUACCCCACACACAGACACACAGCAGGAGUUACCCCACACACAGACACACAGCAGGAGUUACCCCACACACAGACACACAGCAGGAGUUACCCCACACACAGACACACAGCAGGAGUUACCCCACACACAGACACACAGCAGGAGUUACCCCACACACAGACACACAGCAGGAGUUACCCCACACACAGACACACAGCAGGAGUUACCCCACACACAGACACACAGCAGGAGUUACCCCACACACAGACACACAGCAGGAGUUACCCCACACACAGACACACAGCAGGAGUUACCCCACACACAGACACACAGCAGGAGUUACCCCACACACAGACACACAGCAGGAGUUACCCCACACACAGACACACAGCAGGAGUUACCCCACACACAGACACACAGCAGGAGUUACCCCACACACAGACACACAGCAGGAGUUACCCCACACACAGACACACAGCAGGAGUUACCCCACACACAGACACACAGCAGGAGUUACCCCACACACAGACACACAGCAGGAGUUACCCCACACACAGACACACAGCAGGAGUUACCCCACACACAGACACACAGCAGGAGUUACCCCACACACAGACACACAGCAGGAGUUACCCCACACACAGACACACAGCAGGAGUUACCCCACACACAGACACACAGCAGGAGUUACCCCACACACAGACACACAGCAGGAGUUACCCCACACACAGACACACAGCAGGAGUUACCCCACACACAGACACACAGCAGGAGUUACCCCACACACAGACACACAGCAGGAGUUACCCCACACACAGACACACAGCAGGAGUUACCCCACACACAGACACACAGCAGGAGUUACCCCACACACAGACACACAGCAGGAGUUACCCCACACACAGACACACAGCAGGAGUUACCCCACACACAGACACACAGCAGGAGUUACCCCACACACAGACACACAGCAGGAGUUACCCCACACACAGACACACAGCAGGAGUUACCCCACACACAGACACACAGCAGGAGUUACCCCACACACAGACACACAGCAGGAGUUACCCCACACACAGACACACAGCAGGAGUUACCCCACACACAGACACACAGCAGGAGUUACCCCACACACAGACACACAGCAGGAGUUACCCCACACACAGACACACAGCAGGAGUUACCCCACACACAGACACACAGCAGGAGUUACCCCACACACAGACACACAGCAGGAGUUACCCCACACACAGACACACAGCAGGAGUUACCCCACACACAGACACACAGCAGGAGUUACCCCACACACAGACACACAGCAGGAGUUACCCCACACACAGACACACAGCAGGAGUUACCCCACACACAGACACACAGCAGGAGUUACCCCACACACAGACACACAGCAGGAGUUACCCCACACACAGACACACAGCAGGAGUUACCCCACACACAGACACACAGCAGGAGUUACCCCACACACAGACACACAGCAGGAGUUACCCCACACACAGACACACAGCAGGAGUUACCCCACACACAGACACACAGCAGGAGUUACCCCACACACAGACACACAGCAGGAGUUACCCCACACACAGACACACAGCAGGAGUUACCCCACACACAGACACACAGCAGGAGUUACCCCACACACAGACACACAGCAGGAGUUACCCCACACACAGACACACAGCAGGAGUUACCCCACACACAGACACACAGCAGGAGUUACCCCACACACAGACACACAGCAGGAGUUACCCCACACACAGACACACAGCAGGAGUUACCCCACACACAGACACACAGCAGGAGUUACCCCACACACAGACACACAGCAGGAGUUACCCCACACACAGACACACAGCAGGAGUUACCCCACACACAGACACACAGCAGGAGUUACCCCACACACAGACACACAGCAGGAGUUACCCCACACACAGACACACAGCAGGAGUUACCCCACACACAGACACACAGCAGGAGUUACCCCACACACAGACACACAGCAGGAGUUACCCCACACACAGACACACAGCAGGAGUUACCCCACACACAGACACACAGCAGGAGUUACCCCACACACAGACACACAGCAGGAGUUACCCCACACACAGACACACAGCAGGAGUUACCCCACACACAGACACACAGCAGGAGUUACCCCACACACAGACACACAGCAGGAGUUACCCCACACACAGACACACAGCAGGAGUUACCCCACACACAGACACACAGCAGGAGUUACCCCACACACAGACACACAGCAGGAGUUACCCCACACACAGACACACAGCAGGAGUUACCCCACACACAGACACACAGCAGGAGUUACCCCACACACAGACACACAGCAGGAGUUACCCCACACACAGACACACAGCAGGAGUUACCCCACACACAGACACACAGCAGGAGUUACCCCACACACAGACACACAGCAGGAGUUACCCCACACACAGACACACAGCAGGAGUUACCCCACACACAGACACACAGCAGGAGUUACCCCACACACAGACACACAGCAGGAGUUACCCCACACACAGACACACAGCAGGAGUUACCCCACACACAGACACACAGCAGGAGUUACCCCACACACAGACACACAGCAGGAGUUACCCCACACACAGACACACAGCAGGAGUUACCCCACACACAGACACACAGCAGGAGUUACCCCACACACAGACACACAGCAGGAGUUACCCCACACACAGACACACAGCAGGAGUUACCCCACACACAGACACACAGCAGGAGUUACCCCACACACAGACACACAGCAGGAGUUACCCCACACACAGACACACAGCAGGAGUUACCCCACACACAGACACACAGCAGGAGUUACCCCACACACAGACACACAGCAGGAGUUACCCCACACACAGACACACAGCAGGAGUUACCCCACACACAGACACACAGCAGGAGUUACCCCACACACAGACACACAGCAGGAGUUACCCCACACACAGACACACAGCAGGAGUUACCCCACACACAGACACACAGCAGGAGUUACCCCACACACAGACACACAGCAGGAGUUACCCCACACACAGACACACAGCAGGAGUUACCCCACACACAGACACACAGCAGGAGUUACCCCACACACAGACACACAGCAGGAGUUACAGCUUCAGAUCAUAGAACACUAAUAUAUUAAGCUGCAUUUAAAUAUGAAUCCUGAAUGUUCUGCGUGUCUCUGAGUGAAUGAACGUGAGGUUUCGUGUACUACACACAUACUGAAGUCAAUAUAUGAACAUGAUCUCUAGAACUGCUCUGAGAGUCGCUUCAUGAACAUUUUACUGUUUCUUUUGAGUAAAACAUUAUCAUUAUAUCAUAAACAAACAGAAACCUAAAGAUCUUCAUAGCAUCCUGUCAAAAUAAAAGUUUGGUUUAACUUGAAGAAACCAUGACAGAAAUAUUGCUUAAUGUAAUGAUAGUACUAAUAAUAAUAACACAAUUAAACAUUAUUUUUAAAGGAAUAUUUACCAGAAAAAUUAUUUUACCAGAAUUUAUGCAAAUACACAGUAUUUCAGAUUUUUUUUUUUUACAAUUUUUUUAUAAAAUCAAUUACUUCUAGAUGUUCUUUUAAUUAUUAAUAUUUAAUGAAACCAUUAAAAUGGAAUCCAGAAAAAUAAUGGAAAACAGAAUUAAAAAUAGAAAAUAUUUACUUUCUGUUAAUCAUUUAAUAAAUUGCUAAAUAAUAUUUUAAAUUUGACGAUUUCAAAUAAUUAGACAUGCUUUUUUAAAUAAAACUGAUUUCAUAUGGUCCUAAAUCUGUAAGAAGAGAUUCAGGUUUAGAAUGUAGUGCGCUCCUCACCUCCAUGUCCGGCAGGGCUCUCAGGGCACUGAACAGGGUCAUGGUUUUCCCGGAGCCCGGCGGCCCACAGAGCACCAGAGGCUUGUGUUCGGCCAGCCAGGUGUAGAGCAGGGCCUCGUGACGCACCGUGUCCAGAGUGGGCACCACAACGUCCGGCGAGGCCACCUUGUGCGUCUCCACCUCGAUCUGAGGCACCUUCCCCUGCCAGGACUGCCACUCGCCCGUGAUGGACACCUGACGGAUUCAGAGCAGCGUUAGAGUCACACACUCACCUCAGACAUCACACUCAAUCCGAGACUGCGUCUGCUCACACCUCGUAGUCGAUGAUCGGCACGUUCGGCGCAGACGGGAGAGACACGGUGGUGAUGCGGCGAAUGUAUUCUCCCAGCUCCGCUCGCAUCUUCAGCCUGCUGUCACCCGAGAAGGACCACAGCACUGCGUAGAUCAGGUAUUUCUGCAUGACAUGCUCAAAGUUAGCAUGUGUCAUUUAUUCUCACUCAUGUAGCAUCUAAACACAUGAACCAGCUCCACGCGUGUCACACCUGCAUGUAUUUCUCCAGCUGGUCCAUGGGCAUGGGGAAGUCCGGGUGGUUGUUGUUGUAGAGGGCGAUGUUGCGGCAGGCCUGAUGCAGCAUGGAGAAGAGCGAACUCAGCGAGCGCAGACGCGUGAAGUCCAUGAUGUGCUCCAUCUUCGACGCGUGUUCCAGAGCUUUGAUGACCAGACCGGUGGAGGUGAAAUACGGCUGGAGAAUCGCAGCAGCGUCUCUCUGGAUCUGUGGGUUAUAUGUUUGGAUCAUUUACAUCUCAUCUCACUGAGACACAUUACUGCAGAUAUAGAGCACACUAUUGCUACAAAUAUACCUAUGCUACUGAUGACUGAUUCUGUGCUGCAGGGACAUAUAUUGUCCUCCUAACAAACCAUACAUCAAUGGAGAGAUUAUUUAUUCAGCUUUCAGAUGAUGCAUAAAUCUCAACUUCCAAA
ensembl:lncRNA